GACGUAGGGUGCAAGCGUUGUCCGGAUUUAUCUGGGCGUAAAGAGCGCGUAGGCGGUUCGUUAAGUGUGAAAGCGUAAAUCCUCUUGGCCUCAACCAAGAACUAUUUCGCAUACUGACGGGCUGGAGUGAUGCAGAGGUGGAUAGAAUUCCGGUGUAGCGGUGAAAUGCGUUGAUAUCGGGAGGAAUACCCGUGGCGAAGGCGGUCCACUGGGCAUCAACUGACGCUGAGGCGCGAAAGCGUGGGUAGCAAACAGG
rnacentral:rRNA from 1 species